ensembl:lncRNA
UUUGUGGCACAUAUUCUGUUUAAUCCAGAUUGGAUACAUCAGGUACAGCAGUGGCACAAGACUCAAUACUGUAAAUGAUAUACAAGUUUCAACAUAUGCACUACAAUUCCAAAAGAAGACAACAGGAAACUUGGUUCUUCUAGAAAGUUGUUCUCAAAUGAAGCUACCUGCAGUUGUAUACAGUACAUUUUGUAUCUGUCCUCUGAUGUUUGUAAGCAAAGCCCAUUUAUAGUACGAAAAUAGAAAAUAAUAAGGUCGAGAGCUUCUCCUAACAUAAAACUUCUAAAGAAAACACCAUUGCAUUGGAAUGCCUCACUGAUUUAUCAAAAAUAGACCAUCACACAUGUUUUGUAAGAUACUUCAUUGGUCCGAGGAGCCAGUGGAGAGGUCCAGAGGAGCUCCCACCCAUAGUUGCAACAGAACAGAGAAGAGCAUUUGGUGUGGUUGGUUAACUUCUCACCCAGACAGCUGUGUGACUUCUGUGACUAGCACUAGUUUAAACCAGAAUGAAAAGAAACACGUGCACACAUAUACACACAGAGUAACAGACUACUGACUGAGAGGGAAACUCGAGAAGGAAUUUUCACAAGCUCUUUGUCACCUGCUCUUUCGACUGUUCCACCUGAAGUUUUUCUGGCACACUUUUGCACUCUGAAUGUGAGUAGCAGUACUUUUCUGGUAUGCUUUCCCCAGAAUUCUCUGGUGUUUUGUAGGUGUUCAUGAAUUGAGCUUCACUUACUGAAGGAGGAGGUAUCAAACUCUCUACAGCUUGGGUAAUUGGCAGAGAGGUGAAAUGACUUCUUCGAGGUCACUUAGUGAUUCAUCAAGACAGGAGUAGAACACAGGUUGCUAGAACACAGAUGCCAACUCCUAGCUCUAAUCAAUAUGCACGCUGCCUUCUGUUGGCUCUUAAAAAGUUUUAGAAAGAUGAAACCUUUAUGAAGAGUGUUUCUGGUAUCAUUAAAUGUGAAGCCUAAAAACUCGAGCUCUGAAGUCAUGUAUGUAGCGCAGUUGUUUAAAGUGUUGGAGAAAAAUAUGUGAUUUUUUAAAAUCAACUAAGAUACAUUUGAUUGGUAAAUUAUAUGGAAAAGGUGUAUUAAUCACCUCUACCAUUUACUUUAAAAGCAGAAUAAAGUCUUCAGUUCAAAGCUGCUGAUAUUCACAAGCCAUCCAUGAAUGCUGACUUUGUAACUCUGCCAUAGACAAAAUAUUACAGGAUCCAAGGGAUGGUGCAACCCAUAAAUAAAAGGUGAUUUUUAAUUCACUGAAUUUGCUGUACAAUACAUGUAAGAUACAACAUGUUUACAACCUCUUUACUUAAAAAAGCAAACUAUUUGAAGAAACAUUGCUUGCUUUAGCUGGGAUUAAUCCAAUUUUUCAUGCACACACCUGAAGCUGUCUACACUAGAAUGAGAAAUGCUGGUUUGCAGUUUGUAUUAUCAACUGUUUCAGGUUAAACAAGCAGCAUUGAUUCAAAUUUGGUAUUUCUGGCCAACUGUAAAGAAGGAUGUAUUUUGAAUUCCCUGUUAGCUUUAUUCCAUGCUAAAGCUGUGUGUUACUUGGUUCACCUUUUCCCUAGUUCCUUUUAACAAUGAUAAUCAUUUGGCAGACAAAAGUAGUCUCCGGGAUAAGAAUUUCCUGUAGAAAGUUUUAUAUCCCUCUUCUGUUGGUAGGCAGCUAAUUUACAAUCUGCUGAGGAUGUACAAUGGGAGCAAGAGAGGAAAAAUAAGGAAGGAAUUAUGACUGAACAGCAGGGGAAAAAGCCUUGGCAUUGAGAUCUAUCAGCCUGGAAUAAGCUCUCCAGGGAAGCAGUUGAAUUCCUUUCCU